CAGAUCUCUUGUCUGAAGCAAUCUCCAUCUCUAUUUCAAGUGAAACGAACACCGUAACCACACUGUAACAGAUGAAACUGCUCGGAAUCCAAAAACAGUUUUUUUUUUUUCUUUAAAAAAAACUGUUAUCAGACCUCACCUCAGCAACACAACUGAAUGCCUGAUGUGCGGCUUACCUACAGCAAUGAAGGUGAUGAUAUGCAUAUUAUAUUGAACCAUUUCCUACAGCUAGCAGUACAACAAUACCAAUUUCAUCUGGGUUAUCCGAUAAGAUUUAACUAUCUAUGGAAAAAAUGACUAGCACCACUAAUGGACAUGAUGGUGAUGGAGUCUCAGAUGAUGAAACUCUUGUAACUUGUGAAGAACAUAAAGACACAGAAGGUGGGUUAUUCCUGCACUGCGAUUCACACAUUGUUGUGAACAAUGGCAUGAUUUUGGCAGAACCAUCAAUAGAAAAUUUGAGUGCAAACACUUUAGAACCAUAUACUGGGAUGGCUUUUACUUCAUUAGAUGAUGCAAGAGAUUUCUAUUUUGAAUAUGCCAAGCGAACAGGUUUCACCAUACGAACAAAUCGUAUCAGACAUUCACUAAAGGACAUGGCAGUUAUAGGGCGUGACUUUGUUUGCUCUAGAGAAGGUUUUCGUGCUGCAAAGCAUACUCUGAGAAAAGACAGAGUUCUUCCUCCUCGGCCUAUUACAAGAGAAGGGUGCAAAGCCAUGGUAAGGUUGGCAGCAAGAGAUGGUGGAAAAUGGAUAGUUACCAAAUUUGUACGAGAGCAUAACCACAAAUUAAUGACUCAUUGUAACUUUUCUGGAGAAUUGCCAACCAUAAAUAUACUUAGUGAGGAGGAGAAGGAUAAGAAAAUCCAAGAUUUAUAUGAUGAGCUGCAGCAUGAAAGAGAACGAUCUUCAGUGAUUCGGCAACAGCUAUGGAUGGUUCUUAAAGAUGUUGAGGAACAUGCAGAGUUUAUGUCUUUAAGAGUCGAAGACAUAAUAAAUAGCUUGAAAGAAAUUGAACUUGGCAAUGCAUAGAUAAGGGUGAUAGAUUGAACUGCAUUUAUGCAAGAGGAGAGGAUGAAAAGAUCCGGGAUUUAUGUGAUGAGCUGCAGUGUGAAACAGGACGAUCUGAAACGAUCCAAUAACCGAUGCACGUGAUUCUUAAAUAUCUUGAAGAAAAUUCCAAAUUUUAUUUCUUUUAAGAGUCGAAGACAUAACAAAUAGCUUGAAGAAAUUGCACUUGGCAAUCUAUAUCAUGAUUUGGACAUGCCUGCUUUCAACAACUUUCAGAACAAAUGCAGCUGGUUAUACUCAAGGUUGUUCAAGAAUGGGGAGAUCAAUCAAAGUAAAGGACUGGACUAAAAAAGUUAAGCACAAUCACUGGCAAAUGUCCAUUACCCACAUGAACUUGCAUGAAUUAGGGUACCCCUCAAUCUGUCACAGAGUUGAGGAUAACUAGCUUCUUUUUUUCCCCCUGUUUCAGGGAGUAGUAUUACACAGUGUCCUCAUUUCCACAUUUUGUACAGCCCUGUUAUAACUUGACAUACCAAGCUGUUAUUAGCUUCCCAAUUUCACCAGCAAUGAAUAAUAAUUGAGGCAUCAAUCACUGGAUUAACUGUCUCAAGGCAAUAAAUUUUGCAGCUGGCAUGGUUUCACUUAAAGAUUACUACUGACCAUCAGAAUUAUAGCAAGCUACAUUUUGCUAUAGAAGCUGAUGAUAAAUGUUGCCAUAAAGCAUUUGAUCAUAGUCCAAACAAGACAACCUACCUUUUGGAGAAACUUGCAAGAAAUCUUAAGUGAUCAAGCAACAAAACAUACUUGGCAAGAAAUUCUUUUUUACUAUCCAUAGUAGGAAAACGAUGUCAUAUCAAAAGAAACAUAUAUUUACAACAAAAUCAAACCACAGAAAACAAAGGAUAAUUAUCGAAGGAGAAAAAAGAAUAAUCCUGAGAAGAUGAGCAUAAAAUAAGAAAUAAUUACUAACCCACCAAGCCAAUCUUACAAAGUCUGAAACACACCCUCAAAAA